rnacentral:rRNA from 1 species
UACAGAGGUCCCGAGCGUUGUUCGGAUUCAUUGGGCGUAAAGGGUGCGUAGGCGGCGGGGCAAGUCUGAUGUGAAAUCCUGGGGCUCAACCCUGGAACUGCAUUGGAUACUGCCGUGCUUGAGGACUGGAGAGGAGACUGGAAUUUACGGUGUAGCAGUGAAAUGCGUAGAGAUCGUAAGGAAGACCAGUGGCGAAGGCGGGUCUCUGGACAGUUCCUGACACUGAGGCACGAAGGCCAGGGGAGCAAACGGG